rnacentral:rRNA from 1 species
AACGGGAAUCUUCGGAUUCUAGUGGCGGACGGGUGAGUAACGCGUAAGAAUCUAACUUCAGGACGGGGACAACAGUUGGAAACGACUGCUAAUACCCGAUGUGCCGAAAGGUGAAACCUAAUUGGCCUGAAGAAGAGCUUGCGUCUGAUUAGCUAGUUGGUGGGGUAAAGGCCUACCAAGGCGACGAUCAGUAGCUGGUCUGAGAGGAUGAGCAGCCACACUGGGACUGAGACACGGCCCAGACUCCUACGGGAGGCAGCAGUGGGGAAUUUUCCGCAAUGGGCGAAAGCCUGACGGAGCAACGCCGCGUGAGGGAGGAAGGUCUUUGGAUUGUAAACCUCUUUUCUCAAGGAAGAAGUUCUGACGGUACUUGAGGAAUCAGCCUCGGCUAACUCCGUGCCAGCAGCCGCGGUAAUACGGGGGAGGCAAGCGUUAUCCGGAAUUAUUGGGCGUAAAGCGUCCGCAGGUGGUCAGCCAAGUCUGCCGUCAAAUCAGGUUGCUUAACGACCUAAAGGCGGUGGAAACUGGCAGACUAGAGAGCAGUAGGGGUAGCAGGAAUUCCCAGUGUAGCGGUGAAAUGCGUAGAGAUUGGGAAGAACAUCGGUGGCGAAAGCGUGCUACUGGGCUGUAUCUGACACUCAGGGACGAAAGCUAGGGGAGCGAAAGGGAUUAGAUACCCCUGUAGUCCUAGCCGUAAACGAUGGAUACUAGGCGUGGCUUGUAUCGACCCGAGCCGUGCCGAAGCUAACGCGUUAAGUAUCCCGCCUGGGGAGUACGCACGCAAGUGUGAAACUCAAAGGAAUUGACGGGGGCCCGCACAAGCGGUGGANUAUGUGGUUUAAUUCGAUGCAACGCGAAGAANCNUUACCAAGACUUGACAUGUCGCGAACCCU